rnacentral:rRNA from 1 species
GGCGGACGGGUGAGUAACACGUAGGCAACCUGCCCCUCAGAUCGGGAUAACAUUCGGAAACGAAUGCUAAGACCGGAUAAACAAUUUGGCCGCAUGGCGGAGUUGGGAAACGUGGAGCAAUCUGCGGCUAAGGGAUGGGCCUGCGGCGCAUUAGCUAGUUGGUGGGGUAAAGGCUCACCAAGGCGACGAUGCGUAGCCGACCUGAGAGGGUGAACGGCCACACUGGGACUGAGACACGGCCCAGACUCCUACGGGAGGCAGCAGUAGGGAAUCUUCCACAAUGGGCGAAAGCCUGAUGGAGCAGCGCCGCGUGAGUGAGGAAGGCUUUCGGGUCGUAAAGCUCUGUUGCCAGGGAAGAAUAAGGAUGAGAGUAACUGCUCAUCCGAUGACGGUACCUGAGAAGAAAGCCCCGGCUAACUACGUGCCAGCAGCCGCGGUAAUACGUAGGGGGCAAGCGUUGUCCGGAAUUAUUGGGCGUAAAGCGCGCGCAGGCGGUUCUUCAAGUCUGGUGUCUAAGUGCGGGGCUCAACCCCGUGAUGCACUGGAAACUGGGGAACUUGAGUGCAGAAGAGGAGAGCGGAAUUCCACGUGUAGCGGUGAAAUGCGUAGAGAUGUGGAGGAACACCAGUGGCGAAGGCGGCUCUCUGGACUGUAACUGACGCUGAGGCGCGAAAGCGUGGGGAGCAAACAGGAUUAGAUACCCUGGUAGUCCACGCUGUAAACGAUGAGUGCUAGGUGUUGGGGGUAUCAUGCCCUCGGUGCCGAAGUUAACACAUUAAGCACUCCGCCUGGGGAGUACGGUCGNNAGACUGAAACUCAACGGAAUUGAC